AUUGAUUUUAUGCUUGCAUAAAUGAUUUUUUGGAUUCGGAGCGAGUGGCGAACUGGUGAGUAACACGUGGGUAACCUGCCCCGAAGCGGAGGAUAACAUUUGGAAACAAGCGCUAAUACCGCAUAAUUAGUUGGAACCGCAUGGUUCCAACUUGAAAGAUGGCUCUGCUAUCACUUUGGGAUGGACCCGCGCCGUAUUAGUUAGUUGGUGAGAUAAAAGCCCACCAAGACGAUGAUACGUAGCCGACCUGAGAGGGUAAUCGGCCACAUUGGGACUGAGACACGGCCCAGACUCCUACGGGAGGCAGCAGUAGGGAAUCUUCCACAAUGGACGAAAGUCUGAUGGAGCAACGCCGCGUGAGUGAUGAAGGUUUUCGGAUCGUAAAACUCUGUUGUUAAAGAAGAACAAGUGUUAGAGUAACUGUUAACACUUUGACGGUAUUUAACCAGAAAGCCACGGCUAACUACGUGCCAGCAGCCGCGGUAAUACGUAGGUGGCAAGCGUUGUCCGGAUUUAUUGGGCGUAAAGCGAGCGCAGGCGGUUUUGUAAGUCUGCUGUGAAAGCCCUCAGCUCAACUGAGGAAGUGCAGUGGAAACUACAAAACUUGAGUACAGAAGAGGAAAGUGGAACUCCAUGUGUAGCGGUGAAAUGCGUAGAUAUAUGGAAGAACACCAGUGGCGAAGGCGGCUUUCUGGUCUGUUACUGACGCUGAGGCUCGAAAGCAUGGGUAGCGAACAGGAUUAGAUACCCUGGUAGUCCAUGCCGUAAACGAUGAAUACUAGGUGUUGGAGGGUUUCCGCCCUUCAGUGCCGCAGCUAACGCAUUAAGUAUUCCGCCUGGGGAGUACGACCGCAAGGUUGAAACUCAAAGGAAUUGACGGGGGCCCGCACAAGUGGUGGAGCAUGUGGUUUAAUUCGAUGCUACGCGAAGAACCUUACCAGCUCUUGACAUCUUCUGCCAACCCAAGAGAUUGGGCGUUCCCUUCGGGGACAGAAUGACAGGUGGUGCAUGGUUGUCGUCAGCUCGUGUCGUGAGAUGUUGGGUUAAGUCCCGCAACGGGCGCAACCCUUAUUAUUAGUUGCCAGCAUUUAGUUGGGCACUCUAGUGAGACUGCCGGUGAUAAA
rnacentral:rRNA from 1 species